rnacentral:misc_RNA from 1 species
UACGUAGGUGGCAUGCGUUGUCCGGAAUUAUUGGGCGUAAAGCGCGCGCGGGCGGUUCCUUAAGUCUGAUGUGAAAGCCCACGGCUCAACCGUGGAGGGUCAUUGGAAACUGGGGAACUUGAGGACAGAAGAGGAGAGUGGAAUUCCACGUGUAGCGGUGAAAUGCGUAGAUAUGUGGAGGAACACCAGUGGCGAAGGCGACUCUCUGGUCUGUUUCUGACGCUGAGGUGCGAAAGCGUGGGUCUCGAACCGG